GCCUUUACUGACGCUAAAGCUCGAAGGUGCGGGUAUCGAACAGGAUUAGAUACCCUGGUAGUCCGCACGGUAAACGAUGGAUGCCCGCUGUUUGCGAUAUAUUGUAAGCGGCCAAGCGAAAGCGUUAAGCAUCCCACCUGGGGAGUACGCCGGCAACGGUGAAACUCAAAGGAAUUGACGGGGGCCCGUACAAGCGGAGGAACAUGUGGUUUAAUUCGAUGAUACGCGAGGAACCUUACCCGGGCUUGAACUGCAGGGGAACGAUCCAGAGAUGGUGAGGCCAGCAAUGGUCCCUGUGGAGGUGCUGCAUGGUUGUCGUCAGCUCGUGCCGUGAGGUGUCGGCUUAAGUGCCAUAACGAGCGCAACCCUUUUCAUUAGUUGCCAUCACGCAAUGGUGGGCACUCUGGUGAUACUGCCACCGUAAGGUGUGAGGAAGGUGGGGAUGACGUCAAAUCAGCACGGCCCUUACGUCCGGGGCUACACACGUGUUACAAUGGGUGGUACAGAGAGUCGGCCGUCUGCAAAGCCGGUCCAAUCAUGAAAGCCAUCCUCAGUUCGGAUUGGGGUCUGCAACCCGACCCCAUGAAGCUGGAUCGCUAG
rnacentral:rRNA from 1 species